rnacentral:siRNA from 1 species
AGGUCUCUGUAGCUUCUGUUGGUC